GAAGGGAGAGUACCCAGGCGGGCCAGAUCUAAUUAUACUAAAUCAUUAAGAGCAGAGAGUUUUCUCUGGCUAGAGGCAGAAGAGGAAGUCAGAGAUUCAAAGCCCAGGAAAGAGGUGGGCAUUCCCUUGUGGGUUUGAAGGGGACAGUGGCCGGCACAGAAAGGACCUGAAAGCAGCCUUAGGACCAGAGAGCAAUGCCCUAAGGCAAUCAGCAAGAAAACAGAGACCUUGGUUAUACAGUGGCAAUGAUCCGGAUUCUGACAAUAACCUGAACAAGCUUGGAAGUGGAUUUUUCCCAAAGCCUCUAGACAAGAGUUCUGUUUGGGGCUAUAUUUUAAUUUCAGAACACCAAAAGCCAGCUAGCAAAAUAUUUCACAAACUGAGAUCAUCAUCAAGGAGAUUUACAGAUUCUGAGACCAUUCCUGUCCCAACACGCCAGGCUAUUGGAAUCUCAGAGAGCUACUUGCUCCACAGCAGGAACAAGAGCGAUGACAGAUCUUAGGAUUUGUCCCAAAGAUGUGUUCCGUUCUUAGUACAGGAACAACAAAGUGAUGUUAUUGAGAAGACCCACUCUCUGCGGAUGCUGGUGCAGUUCAAAGGACUGGAAUCCUUCUCAUAUCUGACACCUACGGUUAUCCUGAUCGUGCUCACGGCAGCUGCUGCUUGUGGCACCUGGCACUGCUUUUGUUUUUGUUGGGCUUUUUUGGGUUUUGGGUUUUGGUUUUUAAUUGGAAGGCAGUAUCUAACAACAUUAAAGAA